GCACCGUUGGUCUAAUGGUUAGGAUAUCUGCCUUCCAAGCAGAUGGUCCGGGUUCAAUUCCCGGACGGUGCA